UACGGGGGGGGCAAGCGUUGUUCGGAAUUACUGGGCGUAAAGGGCUUGUAGGCGGCCAACUAAGUCCGACGUGAAAUCCCCAGGCUUAACCUGGGAACUGCGUCGGAUACUGGAUGGCUUGAAUUCGGGAGAGGGAUGCGGAAUUCCAGGUGUAGCGGUGAAAUGCGUAGAUAUCUGGAGGAACACCGGUGGCGAAGGCGGCAUCCUGGACCGAUACUGACGCUGAGGAGCGAAAGCCAGGGGAGCAAACGGG
rnacentral:rRNA from 1 species